rnacentral:sRNA from 1 species
GUGCACGCUGGGGCUGUGUGUGUGGGGCCAUGCACGCUGGGGCUGUGUUUUGUGUGGGGCCGUGCACGCUGGGGCUGUGUGUGUGUGGGGCCGUGCACGGUGGGGCUGUGUGUGUGUGGGGCCAUGUACACUGGGGCUGUGUGUGGGGGGGGGCCAUGCACGCUGGGACUGUGUGUGUGUGGGCAUGUAUGCUGGGGCCGUGUUUGCGGGGGGCGUGUACGCUGGGGCCAUUAUGUUUUGUAGAAAACUGCUGGCCACGCCACAAGUCAAUUUGUAUUUUACUUAGUGAAGGUAUUUUUAAAGCCUGAUAUGUUAAAUAAAAUCAUAGCAUUGAACUGACAAGUCUUUUUAAUUUUCAGGAGGGUUUGCAUUUGUGUAUGAAGCUCAAGAUGUGGGGAGUGGCAGAGAGUAUGCAUUAAAGAGGCUAUUAUCCAAUGAAGAGGAAAAGAACAGAGCCAUCAUUCAAGAAGUUUGCUUCAUGAAAAAGCUUUCCGGCCACCCGAACAUUGUCCAGUUUUGUUCUGCAGCAUCUAUAGGAAAAGAGGAGUCA